rnacentral:lncRNA from 10 species
UGACAGUAUCAUCUGAGUUAGGAUCUAUCCACAAAUAUAUACUUGGUUUCCCUUGAGCAGCAAGAACAGUGAAGAAAGCAUGAAGAAAGAACCUCCAUAUCUAUACCAUCCCUUCCUACCCAACUUUGAGCAUGGUUGUGCGAGGAUGUGAUGCCAGAAGAUGCCACAGUCACAGUCAUAUUUCAACCAUAUAGGAAGACUGAGAAAUUUGCAGCGAUCCCAAACAAGAGCUCUGACAUUGGCCAGUGCUAGAAACCACCUACCUCUAGUUUUUGUUCUUGCUGUUGCUGAGAUAUUAUAAUAAACAAGUCUGUAUUGUUUAAGCAGCA